GCAACACAGCACUUAGGCCAGCCGCUAACCAACCCCCACUUCAUCCCCUGGAACAGCUCUCCACAUUCUCCCGGUAAAGGCGAUGGUCCAGCGCCCCUAAUCACUUAGGACAUUCCGUUCUUGAGCAGCCGCGUUGGAAGAGAAAAGGCAAACAGGAAGUAAAUUUCAGCAUAUUCAUACUCAGCCCAGAUGUCCGAAAACUACCCUGGCACUAUGCGGUCGGCACAAACCGUGCGCACGCGGUAGUCCGCAUUCUUUUUCGUAGGAAGCCUUUGAAACCCAGCGUGUCGUUUCCCCGCGGCCUGCAGCUGGCGUCAGCCUCAGGGAGGACUAGGCUCUGCCCGCAGCCGCGACCCACCGUGCUGAAGGCGCCAGUUCGGAGGAAGGCCGGUGGAUGUGGCACCAGCAGAUGUCUUGAGACGUGCCUCGGGCAGGCAGCUUCGGAGGAGUGUGCUGUGGGGGAGGAUGUGGCUUAUUCGCAGCAACGUGGCGCCUUGCCUUGCCUGUUCCUUCGGAUCCGUUCAGUGAGGCAGCAGAUGCUGACUUGAGUUCCUGUGUGUGGACCCCACAGAUCAACGUUCCUGUGGGAAAGGAAGCCAUAGUCACUUGUCAGAUGUAAAAAGGGAAGGACAGAAGUUAAGUUCGUACCACCCAAGAGGCUUGUCAUUUAUAUGGGAUUUGGAACACCCACAAUAUUUCGGAUAGGGUCUUCAAAUGCAGCCGCUCGCUCCCCUCCCCACGCCUCCCUCCUCCCCCGGCAGUCCCCUGACCCCGUCGCCGUGGAAACCAUGGGGCGCAAACUGCCCACCCACGCGGAUUCUGUGGCUGAGAGCUGGGCCUGGUGAUGCCCGCGCAGGGCCGCCGCUGGGGGCGCUUCUUGGAGCAGCGGGCCAGGCAGCUGCAGCGCCAGGUGCAGGGUGCGAGGACCUCAUCUGUAGUCCCCCUUGGACCUCACCCCACCCACACCUGAGACCUCAUGCCCCUCAUCUGAGCACCUGUGUCAUCCGCCCAGGGCCCUCCCGUUACUUACUGGGCGUUUACUAUUUACUGUGCUAAAUUUUGGAAUACAGUGGUUAAGCAACAACCCUGCUCUCUUGGAGUACAGCCUUGAAUAAAGGAAUAAAUAGUCACAAUAAAU